UACGGAGGGGGCUAGCGUUGUUCGGAAUUACUGGGCGUAAAGCGCGUGUAGGCGGGUCUUUAAGUCAGGGGUGAAAUGCCAAGGCUCAACCUUGGAACUGCCUUUGAUACUGGAGACCUUGAGUCCGGGAGAGGUGAGUGGAAUUGCGAGUGUAGAGGUGAAAUUCGUAGAUAUUCGCAAGAACACCAGUGGCGAAGGCGGCUCACUGGCCCGGAACUGACGCUGAGACGCGAAAGCGUGGGGAGCAAACAGG
rnacentral:rRNA from 1 species